rnacentral:rRNA from 1 species
GACAAACGCUGGCGGCGUGCUUAACACAUGCCAGUCGAACGGAAAGGCCUUGCUUUUGUGGGGUGCUCGAGUGGCGAAAGGGUGAGUAACAUGAUCGUCACCUGCCCUUGACUUUGGGAUAACUUCAGGAAACUGGUGCCAAUAACGGAUAGGAGCUCCUGCGGCAUGGUGGGGGAUGGAAAGUUUCGGCGGUUGGGGAUGGACCCGCGGCUUAUCAGCUUGUUGGUGGGGUAUUGGCUUACCAAGGCUUUGACGGGUAGCCGGCCUGAGAGGGUGACCGGCCACAUUGGGACUGAGAUACGGCCCAGACUCCUACGGGAGGCAGCAGUGGGGAAUAUUGCACAAUGGGCGGAAGCCUGAUGCAGCAACGCCGCGUGCGGGAUGACGGCCUUCGGGUUGUAAACCUCUUUCGCCUGUGACGAAGCGUGAGUGACGGUAAUGGGUAAAGAAGCACCGGCUAACUACGUG